GAUGAACGCUGGCGGCGUGCCUAAUACAUGCAAGUCGAGCGAACAGACGAGGAGCUUGCUCCUCUGACGUUAGCGGCGGACGGGUGAGUAACACGUGGAUAACCUACCUAUAAGACUGGGAUAACUUCGGGAGACCGGGGCUAAUACCGGAUAAUAUAUUGAACCGCAUGGUUCCAUAGUGAAAGACGGUUUUGCUGUCACUUAUAGAUGGAUCCGCGCCGCAUUAGCUAGUUGGUAAGGUAACGGCGUACCAAGGCAACGAUGCGUAGCCGACCUGAGAGGGUGAUCGGCCACACUGGAACGGAGACCCGGCACAGACUCCUACGGGAGGCAGCAGUAGGGAAUCUUCCGCAAGGGGCGAAAGCCAGACGGAGCAACGCCGCGGGAGGGAUGAAGGUCUUCGGAUCGUAAAACUCUGUUAUUAGGGAAGAACAAAUGUUUAACUAACUAGGCACGUCUUGACGGUACCUAAUCAGAAAGCCACGGCUAACUACGUG
rnacentral:rRNA from 1 species